AUGGUGUGUGGGCUGAGCUGGCUUCUCCUGGUGGCUGUGUUAGGAGGGAUCCAGUGUGAGGUGCAGCUGGUGGAGUCUGGGGGAAGCUUGGUGAAGCCUGGGGGAUCCCUGAGACUCUCCUAUGCAGCCUCUGGAUUCAAUUCUGGCAGCUAUAAAAUGGGCUGGGUCCGCCAGGCUCCAGGAAAGGGCCUACAGUGGGUCUCAAGCAUAAAUAGUAGUGGUGCUAGAACAUACUACGCCGACUCUGUGAAAGGCCGAUUCACCAUCUCCAGAGACAACAGCAAGAACACGCUCUCUUUGCAAAUGAGCAGCCUGAGGGAGGAGGACACGGCCCUGUACUACUGUGCGAGACACACAGUGUCCUCUCCCAGGUACAGCUGCAGGAACCAGGACCAAGCCUGA